GACGAAGGAUGCAAGCGUUAUCCGGAUUCAUUGGGUUUAAAGGGAGCGUAGGUGGACUUGUAAGUCAGUGGUGAAAUCUUUGGCUUAACCCAGAAACUGCCAUUGAUACUGCAGGUCUAGAGUACAGUUGCCGUUGGCGGAAUAUGACAUGUAGUGGUGAAAUACUUAGAUAUGUCAAUAGAACACCGAUUGCGAAGGCAGCUAACGAAGCUGUAA
rnacentral:rRNA from 1 species